GGUGAGUAACGCGUAGGUGACCUACCCCGAAGAGAGGGAUAACAGUUCGAAAGGGCUGCUAAUACCGCAUGAGGUUAGAGAGGUUAGAGGCUGUCUAACGAAAGGAGCGAACCGGAAGGUGAGUUCCGCUUUGGGAGGGGCCUGCGUCCCAUCAGUUAGUUGGUAGGGUAACGGCCUACCAAGGCGACGACGGGUAGGGGACCUGAGAGGGUGACCCCCCACACUGGCACUGAAACACGGGCCAGACACCUACGGGUGGCAGCAGUAGGGAAUAUUGCACAAUGGGCGCAAGCCUGAUGCAGCAACGCCGCGUGCACGAUGAAGGCCUUCGGGUUGUGAAGUGCUUUUCUGGAGGACGAGGCAGGACGGUACUUCAGGAAUAAGGAUCGGCUAACUACGUGCCAGCAGCCGCGGUAACACGUAGGAUCCGAGCGUUAUCCGAAUUUACUGGGCGUAAAGCGCGUGUAGGCGGCUGGAUAAGUUGGACGUAAAAUCUCCUGACUCAACUGGGAGGGGUCGUUCAAGACUGCCUGGCUAGAGGGCGGUAGAGGGAGGUGGAAUUCCUGGUGUAGUGUUGAAAUGCGUAGAUAUCGGGAGGAACACCAGUGGCGAAGGCGGCCUCCUGGGCCGCACCUGACGCUCAGACGCGAAAGCUAGGGGAGCGAACGGGGAUUAGAUACCCUGCUAGUCCACGCCGUAAACGAUGUUCACUAGGUGUUGGGGAGUAUUUGAUUCCUCUCAGUGCCGUAGCUAACGCAUUAAGUGAACCCGCCUGGAGCAUUUACGGGCCGCUAAGGCUA
rnacentral:rRNA from 1 species